UGCGUAGGCGGGCUAAUAAGUCAGUGGUGAAAUCUUCCGGCUCAACCGGGAACCUGCCAUUGAUACUGUUAGUCUUGAGUUCGGUUGAGGUAGGCGGAAUGUGUAAUGUAGCGGUGAAAUGCUUAGAUAUUACACAGAACACCAAUUGCGUAGGCAGCUUACUAGACCGAAACUGACGCUGAGGCACGAAAGCGUGGGGAGCGAACAGGAUUAGAUACCCUGGUAGUCC
rnacentral:rRNA from 1 species